rnacentral:tRNA from 1 species
GCCGCGGUGGCGGAACUGGCAGACGCAUCCGCUUCAGGGGCGGACGGCCGCAAGGCUAUGAGAGUUCGAAUCUCUCCCGCGGCA